rnacentral:lncRNA from 1 species
CACGCUAACUGUGCAUCUAGUGGGUACGCAACCAGCUGGGAUGCCACCGGGGCACAACCUUGUAUUCAGGCUGAUAGCACCGGGAGGCAGGGCUUCUACCCAGCAAACCGGUUAGAGGAGAGUAAUCAGGGAGCCUUGGCAGCUGUGACUGGCGUUCUGCAUGCCCCUCUGCUUCCUGAGGCUACUCACUUCCUUGCUUACAUGUGGCCACAGUGGCAAGUUCCAACAGUUUCUUCAGUCAACGACCCCUCCCUCCCGACUUUGCAGUUUGAGUCACCUUCAAUUUCCUGCCUGCCUGCCUCUUCCCUGAUUGACCUGAUAAAUCCAGGACAGCUUUUAUUGCUUUUGGCAAAACAUUGCCAUUAAGAUUUACGGAGCCAAAAGCUGGUACAAUGUAAUCUUCAGAGUGAUUUACACAGUGAGUUUCAAA